rnacentral:lncRNA from 1 species
CAGUCACGGCCCCGCGGGAAGCCGCCUCACCCCGAGCCCCUGGCCCAUGCCCCGGCCGCCGGGGCCAGGGCUUCGCGCAGAGCACGGGGGCCCCGGGACGGCGCCGAGGUUGAGUGGCUAGGACACCUGGAGCCGCGGCCGGUCGGCCAGUCGGCCAGAGGCGGCGCGGGAGAAACAACCUAGGGCGCAGCAGCGACUGCGACCGCGGUGCUGGCGUCCGGGAGCGCGGCACUUUAUCACCUCACAACUGGGCGGGCGCCGACGCGGUGGGAGGGGCGGGGCGGGCCGUUCCAAGCCGCGGCCCGCGCCACUUGCUUGUGGGGGGAACAGCACCUGAGGCUCGGCUCGGCUCGGCGCGGGCCCGGGGCGGGCCAGCAGGCUGCUCAGCGUGGAUCCGGGGAAUGCGUGAGAAGAGAGAAACUCUGAGCCCUCAUUCCAAGGGGCGCGCCCGGUUAUUUCCCCCACUCCCUCAGUCCGCCCCGGGCUCUUCCCCGCGGAGAGACAGGGUCUCACUUUGUCAUCCAGGCUGGAGUACAGUGCGACAAUCAUGGCUCACUGCAGCCUUGACUUCCUGGGCUCAAGUGAUCCUCCCACCUCAGCCUCCUGGGUAGCUGGGACUACAGGUAUGUGCUACAAUCCCUGGGCUAAUUUUUCUUCUUUUUUUGUGUGUGUGUAGGGAUGGGGGUCUCACUUUGUUGCUCAGGGUGGUCUCAAACUCCUGGCCUCAUAUGAUCUUACUACCUCAGUCUCCCAGAGUACUGGGAUUACAGAUGUGAGCCACUGUGCCUGGCCAAUGUUUAGCAUUUUUUUUUUCAUGUGUUUAUUGGGCAUUUAUGUAUCUUCUUUGGAGAAGAGUCUAUUCAGAUCCUUUGUCCAUUUUUUAAUAAAGUUGUCUUUUUAUUUUUGAGUUGCAAGAUUUCCUAAUGUAUUGUAGAUACCAGUUCCUUAUCAGAUAUAUGCUUUGCAAAUAUUUUAUCCCAUUCUGUGGGUUAUCUUUAACAUUUCUCAAUAGUGUCCUUUCAAACAUACAAGUUUUU